CUUUGUAAAACGGUUUUAUUUUACACUUUAGUGCUUCUGUCAAUAUCUUAUAGACAUUUUUUCCAUUUUUAUUGACAUUGAGUUUUAAAAAUACAUGCUUGUAGAGUUUCGGCGCGAAAAUUGUUUCUUUGUGCUCCUGCGGUGUAAAACACUCAUCAACCAAUCAAAAUAAGAGUUUGACCGAAGUUCAUUUUGUAACUAUUGAAGUAAUACUGUGGAUUCAUUAUUUUUCCGUUGGAUACAAAUUUUCGUGGUUUUCGUUGGUACAGUUGAAACAUGAAAACUUCUAUCAGGUUGUAUGCAGACUUUGGCAAAAUCACGAAACACAUAUCAGACAAAAGGCAAGUCUUGCCGCAAUCCACGAAAAUAAGUACCUAUGAAAAUAAAUGAAUCCACAGUACAUUUUUUAUGAGUUUUGUAUGAAUUCAAGAAUAUAGAUAGACAGAACAAUGAUCCAUACAUUUUUGUACCUUUUUAAUAAAUGUGUUAUUUCAUUUUUUAUUUUAUUUUAAACAGAUUAUAUAUGAAUGCACUUAAUUUGUAAAUAUAAUUUGAGAAUGGAUUCAUUAAUUUUACCUUUUAUUUCAUUUUUUUUGUUUCAAAUUUUUAAUGUGAAUGCACUUAAUUUGUAAAUAUGAUUUGAGAAUGGAUUUGAAUAAAACUGUGAUGAAAAAGAAACAAGACAACACAAUAACAUGUGGUCAGCCAA
rnacentral:lncRNA from 1 species